rnacentral:rRNA from 1 species
UCCGUAGGUGAACCUGCGGAAGGAUCAUUUAUGAGUUUGAACAGGACUUGAUGCUGGCUAUAUGCAUGUGCUCAGUUCUACUCAAUCCAUUAUACACCUGUGCACUUUCAAAGUUGUAGUCCUCCGUCAUGGGAGCCGUACCUUGUCAUGAGGUACUGGGACUAUAUGCUUUGCCCUUUAUUACAAACUUUAUUAUUGUCUUGUAGAAUGUUAAUAGCCUAAGGGCUUAACUUAAUACAACUUUCAACAACGGAUCUCUUGGCUCUCGCAUCGAUGAAGAACGCAGCGAAAUGCGAUAAGUAAUGUGAAUUGCAGAAUUCAGUGAAUCAUCGAAUCUUUGAACGCACCUUGCACUCCUUGGUAUUCCGAGGAGUAUGCCUGUUUGAGUGUCUGUAAAUCAUCAAUCCAUCUUCACUUUGUUGUGGAGUUUGGAUUGGACUUGGGGAUUGCUGUCCUUUACAGGUUGGCUUCCCUUAAAGAUAUUAGUUGGACUGAGUUGCAAUGCUACGUGUAGUGGUGGAUAAUAUCCUUCACUGGCAUAGGUUGGUAAUGGAAGGUUUAGGCUUCUAACCGGGUCCUUUACUGGGGACACUACUUGGGACCAUUAGACCUCAAAUCAGGUAGGACUACCCGCUGAACUUAAGCAUAUCAAUAAGCGGAGG